GACGAACGCUGGCGGCGUGCCUAAUACAUGCAAGUUGAGCGCUGAAGGUUGGUACUUGUACCAACUGGAUGAGCAGCGAACGGGUGAGUAACGCGUGGUGAAUCUGCCUUUGAGCGGGGGACAACAUUUGGAAACGAAUGCUAAUACCGCAUAAAAACUUUAAACACAAGUUUUAAGUUUGAAAGAUGCAAUUGCAUCACUCAAAGAUGAUCCCGCGUUGUAUUAGCUAGUUGGUGAGGUAAAGGCUCACCAAGGCGAUGAUACAUAGCCGACCUGAGAGGGUGAUCGGCCACAUUGGGACUGAGACACGGCCCAAACUCCUACGGGAGGCAGCAGUAGGGAAUCUUCGGCAAUGGACGAAAGUCUGACCGAGCAACGCCGCGUGAGUGAAGAAGGUUUUCGGAUCGUAAAACUCUGUUGGUAGAGAAGAACGUUGGUGAGAGUGGAAAGCUCAUCAAGUGACGGUAACUACUCAGAAAGGGACGGCUAACUACGUG
rnacentral:rRNA from 1 species